UUAUAUAUCAAAAUGCCUAUAUUUUGACUUAGAGCCAGAAUAUUUAUGACGAAGGACCAUUCUAGCUCACUAAAACAGAAUAACACCACCCCGAACUGCAUUGAACAUAACUAACGCUCUACCCAACAGAUCGAGAUGUAACCCUUUUAGAAUGGAAGUAGUUAAGUAUUUGAUGUAUCCAUUAUUCAUAAUCCAUUUGAAUUGAUAUGUCUACGGAUGUACGUCAUAGUUUAUUAAUAUCAUAUUUUUAGAAAAAUAAUCGCGAUAUGCUGUCAGUCUGACAUAAAAACCAGCUUAGUCAUUUAAUAUUUUUACACAAGAUUUUUUAUGUAUGCAGUAAUUGAUCGUAUUUGCAAGUUUGCAAUUUAGGUCUAGUAUACCUCCUACACAUGAAAAUCAGUGAACAGUAAAUGAUAUACACUAUAACAAUGUAACUCUUCGCAUUAUAGCGUUAAAGGUAGUACAUUACAAACUAUUGUUAGAAUUUCAGAUAAACUCAAAAUUAAGUAUGCAUAAAGAUUCAGACAGAUACAUGUUUACAAGACAAUCUAGGUAAAUUCCCGUGACUCCAAAUUCAGUCAAAUGGUCAAAGUUCAUAAUAUCAAAAUAUUUCCAUUUUCUCAUGUUGUCUCUUUUGAUCAACCAACUGUCCAACAGUCUCUUAUUUCGCUUAUGACAACAAUCAAAAGAUAUACUAAACCAUUUAACGGACAAUUUACUCCGCGGGUUGCCUUAAACCCUGUGUAGAUUUAGCAAAGAUGUUGCAAUAUUAAAUAGGAUGGUUUAAUCGUCGUGAAUUUAUCCGUAGAUUAAGAUCAUUGUCACCAAUUGUGAAAAGGGCUUAAAACAUAUUUUAAAGGUCAAGGAUUACAAAACAUUCAUUGAACCGAUUCUUCUUACAGCAUAUCCUAAAUACUACGAAAUAAAUAAAACUACUUAAGUAAAUAGCCCAAGUAUCACAUGUUACCGAACUCAUUCAUUCAAAUAUAUUUUACAAUUUUCUGUAUCGUUUAUAGAGUGGAUUUACUGAACCUUACAAACUUCAUAAUAUUUGACAAGCUAACUGUAGUAAAACUGUUGAAUUUGCGGUAAAAUAUGAAUAUAAAUUAGAUUCAAGGAACAAUUGGAAUAUAAGAAAUAUUAAUUUUUGCUGUGAAACUGGAUAUUUCAAGUAGAUCGACACUUGUGGUGAACGUACGCGGGUUUAAAGAGUUUUCAUAAAUGCAUACAGGAAUGUUUUUCGAACAGAUGAUACAAGGAUAGCGUUUUACAUGUAUACUAUAUAUAGAUUUCACAGAAGCUUCUUAAAUAAUAUCACGGUGUAAAAACAGUAAGGAUGCAUACUGACAUAACAGGAAAGAUAAUAUUGAAGCCAUAGAUAUCAUGGAAUGAAUUUAAAUUAAGAUCAGCUGGAUAACUGACUAAUACUACGCAUGAUAAAGUUAAAAAGUUGAAAUAAAUUUUAACGCCUUCGCUCAAUACCAUGACUAGGCGUCAACUUUCAAAUUAGUCAUCCCUAUAUAUUAAUAUAAUAUGUGUAUACAUAUGGGUGCAAUAGUAAAUAGGGUCUAUAGAGCAAUGUCUAAUACGAAAAGUGUACAAUAGACCGGUUUUAUAGGGCAUGUGUAAGGCGUGUUGUAAUACGUAACGUAAGCAUAUCAGGUUAUGCAAGAGGUACCUCGAAUGUAGACGAUAUAAUAUAUACAGAAAUAUACAAUGGUAUGUAUAGUGCGCUAGAUGAAUUUCUUAAAGACACGUAGACUAGUACAUCACAAUAUAUUAUACACAUAUGCGGAAAGCUGUCAAACAUUUUGAAGUACCCUUAGAUAAUUGUAUAGGUAUGAAGUAUAAAAACAUGGCAUCAUAAAUGUGUGAAGCUGAGAACAAGUCAUGACUAGGCACUUUAUAUAAUUUCGUAAAGAGUAUAUAACGUGUUAAACUCAUGGACAGCCCUUCUUCAAAUGUGAGAAAAGACACAGAGUAAAAUACCGCAUUGUAAUAUGAAGCAAUGAAGGCAUUAUAGAAGAUGAAGUUAAGAGCUGAUUCUUUAGUUAAAAAGUCUUUAGCAGCAUUUAAUAGCCAUGGUGAAAAAUGGAUGAACUGGAGGAAAUGUUAACAAAGAGUGAAGCUCUGAAUUGCAACAAAUAGUAUUUAGAAAUGUGCUAAAGCACUGAAGCCAUUAUAAAUAUGGAGCAAUUUAUGGCAUGACAAGAUACUCAAGUAAACAAUAUAUUGAUGAUUUAGCACAGUUUGGCUAGUGUUUAAUACAAAAUGCAAAAGCAUGUAUGUAAAGAUGCCUUGCUAUAAGAAUACGUAAUCUAAUAGAUAAAGUGCUCUGAAUGAUAUAUAUUAACAUUGGAAGUAUGUAAUGAAUGAUAUGUAGCAAACUAGAUGCAAAUGAUAGAGUAUAGAUAUGUACUAUAAUAAGAAUAAGAAAUUUGAAGACGCACGGUUCUGGACUGUGCGGUUACCAAGAUACACAUCUGGCACGGAGACAUACCAGUAUGAAGGUAGACUAGAGGUGCACAAAUUUUAUAAUGACCACAACAGAGAUCAGGCGCCACCAAGUUGGUUUAUACCGCAUUGCUCACGGGAAAUGGGAGAGAAGCUACUGGAGAGAGCCAUAAGCAAUAAUUAUGGAAACACAUUGAUGCGCUGAG
rnacentral:lncRNA from 1 species